AGGCAGAGAAGAUAGCCUCUCAAAUGAUAACAGAGGGUCGCAUGAAUGGAUUUAUUGAUCAGAUAGAUGGAAUAGUUCACUUUGAAACUCGAGAAGCCUUACCAACAUGGGACAAACAGAUUCAGUCACUUUGCUUCCAAGUUAACAAUCUUUUGGAGAAGAUUAGUCAGACUGCUCCAGAAUGGACAGCACAAGCUAUGGAGGCUCAGAUGGCUCAGUAAACCACCAUUCUGUUCCUUUCUGUAGAAAAGACUCUUGGUUGUUGUUGUAAAAAGGUGAAAUAAACAUAAGAAAUUGAAAUUCGGGCUCACACCACGACUUGUAUUAAAACUCCUAAAGGUUGCUCUUAAAGGUACAGUAGAACAUCAUAAGAGGUGUUAAGCUAUAAAGUAAAACUAACCGAGCAGAGUGUAAAGGCGUGUUAAGGUUUUAUAUUAAAAUUUCAGUUGCUUUCUAGCGUUGUGAGUAUUUAUGUGUUGUGAAAAUUAAGGUGCCAUGGUCUCCUUUGCUCUGGUUGUUCCAAUAAAGCUGGGGUUGGACUUAAUCAAA